rnacentral:lncRNA from 1 species
AAUAAACAUAAUUUAUUUGAUUCUGCUAUUUCCUUUUUCAAUUGCUUGAUUUAGCAAUCUCGGUAAUGGUCUUUAACAAAUUCUUUAUUUAUUUUCCUAAACAGAAAAAAGAGGAAAAAAAUGAAAAGAAGCUGCAAAGAGAUUAAUUCCAUCACGAUACCUCAUUUUCCUCAGCAGAAUGAGAACUGCAGAAUUAGCACAGAUUUCUGCUACUUGAGCUAAUGAAGUGCCACUACCAGUCACGGGUUGUCAUCCUCUGAGUAAAGCACUCCCAGAAGAGGAUCGCUGAUGGGCAAUGACAGGAUAUUUUCCACGUUUCAAAGGUUUCUCCGUAUGAUUGCAAAUAAGAAAAAUUAUGGAAGCAUCUUAUUCUGCAAUUAUUCCAUAUUCUCUGACCGACAUGGCUUACUCUUCCCUCUUGCUGUAUUCUCUUCUGUGCAGAUUUUGCUCUCAUCACAGGAAAUUGUUAGAACAUCAUCGUGGGGUGUUGGACAGCCAGGCCGGUGCGUGUGGGAUCAGAGAAAGAGGAUGAAGGAGCUCUACCCUCCCACUUGGAGAGUCUCGGCAGAGGACAGAGGCAGCUGGACUGACUGGGAGGCAGAAGGUGUGCUUCAGGAAACUGCUUCUGGUGACAUUUUUUCCCUGUGAGUUGGCAGGUCAAGAGUUGAGGAGUUACAGCUUGUCCCCACUGUUGAUAUUCUUAAGCAGGGAAUGACAUUUAUCUCUCAACAGUCCCUCAUUGUAAAGCCAAACCUGCUCCCUUCCCAAAACAACUUGCAGCGUUGUUCUGCUGUUAUCGUGGUAAGUUAUGAAUGUGAGACAUGUUGAAUCACAACAACUCUCCUGUACGCAGUUGUUCUGAGUGCUGGAGAAAUUUGUCUUUUGCCAUGUAUGGCAUUUUUAUGCUCCUAUUUAUUAUGGGUGCAAUGUUGGGGUCUUGAUGGGAUGGCAAGGAAGCAGGAAGCGCGCAGGCCGCUCUGGGAUUUUAAGUGCAGACUUCUGGAGUAUUCCGAGGAGUGUGGAUCAGUUUAUGAUUCAUCUGUGACCAAUGUGUGAGCAGCACUUCGUGUCUGCACGUGUACUUAAGCUAAAGCAUUUGAUUCAAUAAAAUGCUGCAUCCAAACCGGAAUUGUACUUUC